GUUUUAGUAGUUUAAAUAAAAACAAUGGUCUUGUAAACCAUCAAUAAGAUUUUUGUCUUUUAAAGC
rnacentral:tRNA from 1 species